AAGAUAUAUAGAUGUGUGUGUGUGUGUGUGUGUGUGUGUGUGUGUGCAUACGCACAUAGGUGCUCAUACAGACCAGAAGUGGGUGUUAGACUCCUUGGAACCAAGGUUAACAGGCAUUUGUUAUCUAUCUGAUGUGGAUGCUGGGAUCAGAGCUCUGGUUUGCUGACAGAGAAAUAAGUGCUUUUAACAACUGUGUCAUCUUUCCAGCUCCUGAACCAGUAGUCUUCUGUAUGCCAGUAAGAAACACACUGAGAAGGAAAUCAGAACAAUAAAUUCUAUUCAAGAUAGACUCAAAACAAGGCACCCAGGAAUAAAUUUAACCCGAGGGAUGGAAAGCCUCUCUAAUGAAAACAAUAAAAUACUGAAGAAAGCAGCUGAAGAAGACGCCAUGGAUCAUCAGAAUAAUAUGGUUAGAAUGGUUGCAUUGUCAUGAGUGAAAAAAACAGCAUGUUUAAUAAAUGCUGCCUUGGAGACACCAAGAUUCUCAAGAUGCCAGAGCCAUAGGUUAUCUCUUGAGGUAUGCUGCUAAAAGGGAAUGGAACCAGCCCAAGAAAAGAAGUUUGUUGCAGUCAACAAAGAGGAAAAAGGUGUUGGAGAUCUGAAAACUGUUUUGACAUCAGACAUGGAGAUGCAGAAUUUGGAGUUUGCCCAGCUGGUUUCCUGUCCUGCUUUGGGGAUUAUAGUUAAGUGAUUGAAUGGAUCUCAGAAGAGACUUUGAACUUUGGACUUUUAACAUUGUUGGGACUGCUAUAGACUAUGGGGACUUUAGAAGCUGGGCUAAAUGUACAUUUUAUUAUGCUAUGACUAGAUAUGGCCCCUAUAGACUUAUAUUUGAACAAGCUUAUAGGGGACAGGGAGUGGAAUGUGAUGGUUUGUAUAUACUUGGCCCAGGGAGUGGCUCAAUAGGAGGUGUGGCCCUGUUGGAGUAGGUGUGUCACUGUGAAUAGGGUCUUUAAGACCCUCACCCUAGCUGCCUGGAAGCAGGUCUUCCACUAGCAACCUUCAGAUGAAGAUGUAAAACUCUCAGCUCCUCCUGUACCUUGCCUGUGUGGAUGCUUCCAUGUUCCUACUUUGAUGAUACUGCACCUAAUCUCUGAACCUGUAAACCAGCCCCA
rnacentral:lncRNA from 1 species